rnacentral:rRNA from 1 species
UACGAAGGGGGCUAGCGUUGUUCGGAAUUACUGGGCGUAAAGGGCGCGUAGGCGGCGUGUCAAGUCAGGCGUGAAAGCCCCGGGCUCAACCUGGGAACCGCGCUUGAGACUGGCACGCUCGAGUCCGGGAGAGGAUGGUGGAAUUCCCAGUGUAGAGGUGAAAUUCGUAGAUAUUGGGAAGAACACCGAUGGCGAAGGCAGCCAUCUGGACCGGCACUGACGCUGAGGCGCGAAAGCGUGGGGAGCAAACAGG